rnacentral:lncRNA from 1 species
UGAUGUGCCGGGGUCGACCCAAUCAUCCUUUGGGUCGACUCAAUCCACACUUUGCUGCAUCUCAAGGUUAGAUUCAUUCAAAUGAACAAUGAAAUGUAUCUAUAUCAAUUAAUACAAAAUAUACUGAGAGUAAUAAACUUAUAAAUGAAGUAUCGAUUUAACUUAUAACAUACUCUAGAUAAUUGCUUAUUAAUCAUCAAAAUAACACUAUCAUUCUCAAUCUCCCCCUUUUUGAUGAUUACAAAAUAAAGAGUAUGAGCCUAUUGAUACUUAUCUUAAAUUCAGUUUUUGAAAGGAUUUAACUUGCUGAAUUUCAGCUUUUCAUAUAUAAGAGUGAAGUCUCCCCCUAUAUCAUUUAAAUGUUGCCAAUUUGACUUUUUGUGUUACUCCCCCUUUCAUUUAUAAUUCAUUAAAGAUGAAACUCCAAAAAUUUGAGAUAAAAUAUGAGUUUCAGGUUAUGUAUCGAGGUGUGAAAGGUGCGUGCCAAAU